rnacentral:rRNA from 1 species
UACGUAGGUGGCAAGCGUUGUUCGGAAUUACUGGGCGUAAAGCGUGCGUAGACGGUUAUUUAAGUCGGGUGUGAAAGCCCCGGGCUCAACCUGGGAAUUGCAUUCGAGACUGAAUAGCUAGGGUACGGUAGAGGGAAGUGGAAUUUCCGGUGUAGCGGUGAAAUGCGUAGAUAUCGGAAGGAACAUCAGUGGCGAAAGCGACUUCCUGGACCAGUACCGACGUUCAGGCACGAAAGCGUGGGGAGCAAACAGG